CACUCCUGCGGGAGGCAGCAGUGGGGAAUAUUGGACAAUGGGCGCAAGCCUGAUCCAGCCAUGCCGCGUGAGUGAUGAAGGCCCUAGGGUUGUAAAGCUCUUUCACCGGUGAAGAUAAUGACGGUAACCGGAGAAGAAGCCCCGGCUAACUUCGUGCCAGCAGCCGCGGUAAUACGAAGGGGGCUAGCGUUGUUCGGAUUUACUGGGCGUAAAGCGCACGUAGGCGGACUAUUAAGUCAGGGGUGAAAUCCCGGGGCUCAACCCCGGAACUGCCUUUGAUACUGGUAGUCUUGAGUUCGAGAGAGGUGAGUGGAAUUCCGAGUGUAGAGGUGAAAUUCGUAGAUAUUCGGAGGAACACCAGUGGCGAAGGCGGCUCACUGGCUCGAUACUGACGCUGAGGUGCGAAAGCGUGGGGAGCAAACAGGAUUAGAUACCCUUGUAGUCCCA
rnacentral:rRNA from 1 species